rnacentral:tRNA from 1 species
AAGUCCAGGGUUUCUAAAGCCUUAUUCGAAUUUGCAAUUCGAACUAACUGGGCC